UUUUUAUUGAGAGUUUGAUCCUGGCUCAGGACGAACGCUGGCGGUAUGCUUAACACAUGCAAGUCGAACGAGAAGGUUUUGAAUGAUCCUUCGGGUGAAAUUAGAACUGGAAAGUGGCGAACGGGUGAGUAACGCGUGGGUAACCUGCCCUAUGGAAAGGAAUAGCCUCGGGAAACUGGGAGUAAAGCCUUAUA
rnacentral:rRNA from 1 species